rnacentral:rRNA from 1 species
UUCCGUAGGUGAACCUGCGGAGGGAUCAUUACAAGUGACCCCGGUCUAACCACCGGGAUGUUCAUAACCCUUUGUUGUCCGACUCUGUUGCCUCCGGGGCGACCCUGCCUUCGGGCGGGGGCUCCGGGUGGACACUUCAAACUCUUGCGUAACUUUGCAGUCUGAGUAAACUUAAUUAAUAAAUUAAAACUUUUAACAACGGAUCUCUUGGUUCUGGCAUCGAUGAAGAACGCAGCGAAAUGCGAUAAGUAAUGUGAAUUGCAGAAUUCAGUGAAUCAUCGAAUCUUUGAACGCACAUUGCGCCCCCUGGUAUUCCGGGGGGCAUGCCUGUUCGAGCGUCAUUUCACCACUCAAGCCUCGCUUGGUAUUGGGCAACGCGGCCCGCCGCGUGCCUCAAAUCGACCGGCUGGGUCUUCUGUCCCCUAAGCGUUGUGGAAACUAUUCGCUAAAGGGUGUUCGGGAGGCUACGCCGUAAAACAACCCCAUUUCUAAGGUUGACCUCGGAUCAGGUAGGGAUACCCGCUGAACUUAAGCAUAUCAAUAAGCGGAGGAA